rnacentral:rRNA from 1 species
CUACGGGACGCACCAGUGGGGAAUAUUGGACAAUGGGGGAAACCCUGAUCCAGCAAUGCCGCGUGUGUGAAGAAGGCCUGCGGGUUGUAAAGCACUUUCGGUUGGGAGGACUGCUUCUAGCACUAAUAUUGUUGGAAGUUGACGUUACCUUCAGAAGAAGCACCGGCUAACUCCGUGCCAGCAGCCGCGGUAAUAGCGGAGGGUGCAAGCGUUAAUCGGAAUUACUGGGCGUAAAGCGCGCGUAGGCGGCUAGAUCAGUCGGGUGUGAAAGCCCCGGGCUUAACCUGGGAACUGCAUCCGAUACUGUCUAGCUUGAGUACAGGAGAGGAGAGUGGAAUUCCACAUGUAGCGGUGAAAUGCGUAGAUAUGUGGAGGAACACCAAUGGCGAAGGCAGCUCUCUGGCCUGAUACUGACGCUGAGGUGCGAAAGCGUGGGGAGCAAACAGGAUUAGAUACCCCCGUAGUC